rnacentral:misc_RNA from 1 species
GGCAGGACACAGGAAUCAUACUCAGCUUUGCAAUCUGAUAAAAUCCCACUGAAUUCCACAUUAGACUAACAUUCAUUCCAACAACUGAGAAGUUUGCAAAGAAGACAAAUUUCAAAAGCUCUGGGAAAGGUAGAUGAGACGCUUGUAUGUAUCCCAGCCACCUUAGAACAAAAGCCAACAAGGUUGUGGUAGCAAAAUGCAAACCAGUUAGUGUUGUAGCAUAACUGAAGUCAUAGGUGGCCAUUAAGGCUUUGUUGACAAUAAUAAUCCCAACAGAAGUGACAACGUUAAACAUCCAUGCAGCCGCA